ensembl:snRNA U6 U6 spliceosomal RNA
GUGCUGGCUUUGGCAGCACCUAUAGUAAAAUUGGAACGAUACAGAGAAGAUUAGCACGGCACCUGCAUGAGGAUGACAUGCAAAUUCAUGAAGCAUUCCAUAUUUUU